GGGUCAGUAGGUUGGUCGUGCCACCGGUACGUACUGGUCUCACUGAUUCCUCCUUCCUGAAGAACCGUAAUGCCAUUAAUUUGGUGUUGCGGGGAAACAGGACUGUUACUUUGAAAAAAUUAGCGUGUUUAAAGCAAGCUAACGCUUGAAUACAUUAGCAUGGAAUAAUGAAAUAGGACGAUCGAUGCUAUUUUGUUGGUUUCUAGGAUUGACGUA
rnacentral:rRNA from 1 species